UCUGCAUGAAACGUAUUUGCACGUCGCCAUCUGGUAUGUGUGGUUUCAUAAAUUUCAACUUCUCAAACUGACAUCCUACAUCGGUCCAUGAGCCUCAAACUUCGUGUGUAACUGUCAAACUGAAUAUCACACACCAUCGAUCGAUACUUCUAAUGAAGUCCUCGAGUAUUUCCAAGUCCACUGUCUAUAUCAACGUUCCACCAUCCUAAUCGCCCCUCACCCCAGCUUACCUGGCUCUAGAUUCCUCCAUGGGUCCGUCUCACCAGUGCAUAUCCCCGAGAUUCAGACUUGUCUCCAGUGCCUUGGAUACAUUGUGGCAUCCUGAAUAGGAUGGCAUCAUCUGAUCAAAUUAUUGCAUUGUAAAAUCUCUGUAUCUCCAGUUAUAACUAGGCCUAGGUAUUUUCAGUAGUUGGCUCUUCUGAAAGGUACAAAAGGUGUAUUCGCAUCUAUAUAAAUCCAUUCCUCAGUCUUUGAUAUCGUGAAACAAAUAGCACUGAAUGGCGUGCUCCGUAGAUAGGGCUUUUGAGGAAACAACCAUAUUAUCCUCAUUCAAACACAGGAAGGAAAAUCACAAUCAAUUGGAGGUGUAGAUAUGGAAGAUUGCAUAGAGAAGAAAGAGGCUGAGGGAUGGAAGGGGUAUUCGCAAAAUAUUGUCAUUGACCAGGUAGUCGACGAAUCCAUAGAUCAUAAUUCGAGAAGUCAAUGAAAUUUUCCCAACAGAUAUCCAUCUACCAGGUUCGACCGAUAGUCGGGUCAAGUAGCAGAAAAGGCCAAGCUUGGAGUAACAAAACCACAUGUAACGUUAUAGUUAAGGUUGUUGACGAUGAUUACGUCAAACCCACUCGAGAUUGAAAGUGCAUCGUAUCCAUGACACAUAC
rnacentral:sRNA from 1 species